rnacentral:lncRNA from 1 species
UCAAAAAAGUUUGAUGGGAUUUNCUAUUUGUUUGAGCACUGAGUGGAUUAUACUAACACUAUCUUUGGAUUUACCAUUUUUUUCUCCGGAUUUCUUGUCGCUGUGGGAUUUAUUAGUUGGUUGUUUUGUGCAGUGUCCUUUUACUCCAAUUUGUCCAUAUAGGUCGCAUUUGUUGGUUGAACAGAAAAAUAUAUGAAUGCCGUGUAUCCUUCUGGGCAUUCAUGCUCAUUUGGCUUGUCAUAAUAUAGCUCAAGGUCCUCAACUUCAGUUAGGGUUGCUAUGUACAUAAUAAAGUACGUGGUUUCUCAAUCAAAAUACCUGUGCUUAUUCUUUUAUUGCCUAGGUAUUUUCAGUUUCAUGUUGUACAGGCAAUUGUUGAAACACUAAGCUAUCUUUCUUUCUAUACUAUUUGCUUUUUAGGUGGAA